UUCCGGUUGAUCCUGCCGGACCCGACUGCUAUCGGAUUGAGAUUUAGCCAUGCGAGUCGAACGUCCCCCUGUUGCGGGGGGCGUGGCGUACGGCUCAGUAACACGUAGUCAACCUGCCCUGGAGACAAGGACAACCCCGGGAAACUGGGAUUAAUCCUUGAUAGGUCAUCUCAUCUGGAAGGAGAGAUGGCUUAAAGGGGUACGCGGGCUUCUUCCGCGUAUUCGCUCCAGGAUGGGACUGCGUCCGAUCAGGCUGUUGGCGGGGUAAUGGCCCACCAAACCUGUAACCGGUACGGGCCUUGAGAGAGGUGGCCCGGAGAUGGACACUGAGAGAAGGGUCCAGGUCCUACGGGGCGCAGCAGGCGCGAAACCUUCGCAAUGCGCGAAAGCGUGACGAGGUUAAUCCGAGUGACUCCCGCUGAGGGGGUCUUUUGUCAGCUGUAAAUAGGCAGGCGAAUAAGGGGAGGGCAAGCCUGGUGUCAGCCGCCGCGGUAAUACCAGCUCCCCGAGUGGUCGGGGCGAUUAUUGGGCCUAAAGCAUCCGUAGCCGGUUCCGUAGGUCCUCUGUUAAAUCCAACCGCUCAACGGUUGACCUGCAGAGGAUACCGCGGGACUAGGAGGCGGGAGAGGCGGACGGUAUUCCGCGUGUAGGGGUAAAAUCCUUUGAUCCGCGGAGGACCACCAGUGGCGAAAGCGGUCCGCCAGAACGCGCUCGACGGUGAGGGAUGAAAGCUGGGGGAGCGAACCGGAUUAGAUACCCGGGUAGUCCCAGCCGUAAACGAUGCUAGCUAGAUGAUUCAUUCGCAAGUCGCGAAUGAAGUGUCGCAGGAAGCCGUUAAGCUAGCCGCCUGGGGAGU
rnacentral:rRNA from 1 species